rnacentral:lncRNA from 1 species
AUUGUGAUGGCCCAGGCCCCAGAAGGCAGCGCGAGGCCUGGUGCUCCUGACAUAGAGGACUUCGGCAUUUCAAAGCCACCCCACCCCAUGGUCCCUGUUGCCACAAAGAGGAAGCGAGUCCUCUGGGAGAGCCAGGAGGAGUCUCAGGACCUCAUGCUGAUUGUGCCCUGGCAGGAGAUCCUGGGGCAGCCUCCCACCCUUGGAACCACCCAGGUGAGAGGCUGUUGUGGCAGAGGUUGCAGUGGCAGAGGUUGUGGUGCUUGCUCUCCGAGAGCUCUGCUGUGCAGUGCAGGGCUCCAAGGCAAGGCCUUGUCCUGGGAAGAGGCUGUGAAGAUGCUUGGUUGUCACAGUGCUCGGAGGCUGCUAAGACUGAGAAAGUGAGCUAUCACAGAAGGGCACUGCUGCCUCACCAUGAAUGCUUUGGUUGCUCCCAUCUGUCCCAGGAAGAGUGGCUGGUCUGGCUCCAGUUUCAUAAGAAGAAAUGGCAAUUGCAGGCCCGACAGCGCUUGGCCCAAAGGAAGAGGCAGCGUCUGGAGUCGGUAAAGGGUGCAUUGAGGCAUGCGGCCCUCAGAGAUGGGCCUGCCAUGGGGCUGGGCAGCUUCCUACAGAGAACAGCCCGCAGUGUUCUGGACCUUCCAUGGCAGAUUGUGCAGAUCAGUGAGACCAGCCAGACCGGCCUGUUCCGGCUGUGGGCCGUCAUCGGCAGUGACUUGCACUGCAUCAAGCUGAGCAUCCCCCGAGUGUUCUAUGUGAACCAACGGGUGGCCAGAGCAGAGGAGGGGGUUACCUGUCGCAAGGUAAGGAGGCUUCGGGCAUUGCUGUUCCCUGCAGUCACCUCUGAGGUGCUACCACAGGAUAAGAGCCACAUAGAGUUGGUGAGGGGCUAGGGUGUAGCCCAGUGGAAGCGCACUCGCCUAGCAUGUGUGAGCCCUUGGG